rnacentral:rRNA from 1 species
UACGGAGGGGGCUAGCGUUGUUCGGAAUUACUGGGCGUAAAGCGCACGUAGGCGGCUUUGUAAGUUAGAGGUGAAAGCCUGGUGCUCAACACCAGAAUUGCCUUUAAGACUGCAUCGCUUGAACGUCGGAGAGGUGAGUGGAAUUCCGAGUGUAGAGGUGAAAUUCGUAGAUAUUCGCAAGAACACCAGUGGCGAAGGCGGCUCACUGGCCCGAUACUGACGCUGAGGCACGAAGGUCAGGGGAGCAAACGGG